rnacentral:SRP_RNA from 1 species
AUGUAGCAGGAGCCAAGGCUGCUGCUGAAGCAUCGGGCUCUGACUAUGUUGACAUCAUCAAUGAUGAGGAUAUGGACAAUUUCAUAUCGGGUGUAUCAGGCUCUUCCAACAGUGCCUGGGCUGCAUUCAAGACCGUGA